rnacentral:rRNA from 1 species
GGCCAGACUCCUACGGGAGGCAGCAGUGGGGAAUAUUGCGCAAUGGGGGAAACCCUGACGCAGCAACGCCGCGUGAGUGAAGAAGUAUCUCGGUAUGUAAAGCUCUAUCAGCGGGGAAGAAGGAAGACGGUACCCGACUAAGAAGCCCCGGCUAACUACGUGCCAGCAGCCGCGGUAAUACGUAGGGGGCAAGCGUUAUCCGGAUUUACUGGGUGUAAAGGGAGCGUAGACGGCAGUGCAAGUCCGGAGUGAAAGCCCAAGGCUCAACCAUGGGACUGCUUUUGAAACUGUGUUUCUUGAGUGCUGGAGAGGCAAUCGGAAUUCCGUGUGUAGCGGUGAAAUGCGUAGAUAUACGGAGGAACACCAGUGGCGAAGGCGGAUUGCUGGACAGUAACUGACGCUGAGGCGCGAAAGCGUGGGGAGCAAACAGGAUUAGAUACCCCAGUAAG